rnacentral:rRNA from 1 species
AUGAACGCUGGCGGCGUGCCUAAUACAUGCAAGUCGAGCGAACGGACGAGAAGCUUGCUUCUCUGAUGUUAGCGGCGGACGGGUGAGUAACACGUGGAUAACCUACCUAUAAGACUGGGAUAACUUCGGGAAACCGGAGCUAAUACCGGAUAAUAUUUUGAACCGCAUGGUUCAAAAGUGAAAGACGGUCUUGCUGUCACUUAUAGAUGGAUCCGCGCUGCAUUAGCUAGUUGGUAAGGUAACGGCUUACCAAGGCAACGAUGCAUAGCCGACCUGAGAGGGUGAUCGGCCACACUGGAACUGAGACACGGACCAGACUCCUACGGGAGGCAGCAGUAGGGAAUCUUCCGCAAUGGGCGAAAGCCUGACGGAGCAACGCCGCGUGAGUGAUGAAGGUCUUCGGAUCGUAAAACUCUGUUAUUAGGGAAGAACAUAUGUGUAAGUAAAUGUGCACAUCUUGACGGUACCUAAUCAGAAAGCAACGGCUAACUACGUG